UACGUAGGGUCCAAGCGUUAAUCGGAAUUACUGGGCGUAAAGCGUGCGCAGGCGGUUGUGCAAGACCGAUGUGAAAUCCCCGGGCUUAACCUGGGAAUUGCAUUGGUGACUGCACGGCUAGAGUGUGUCAGAGGGAGGUAGAAUUCCACGUGUAGCAGUGAAAUGCGUAGAGAUGUGGAGGAAUACCGAUGGCGAAGGCAGCCUCCUGGGAUAACACUGACGCUCAUGCACGAAAGCGUGGGGAGCAAACAGG
rnacentral:rRNA from 1 species